rnacentral:rRNA from 1 species
GUGUCAGCCGCCGCGGUAAGACAGAGGGUGCAAACGUUGUUCGGAAUUACUGGGCGUAAAGCGCGUGUAGGCUGCUUGGAAAGUCGGAUGUGAAAGCCCUGGGCUUAACCCAGGAAGUGCACUCGAAACUUCCGAGCUUGAGUUCUGGAGAGGGUGGCGGAAUUCUCGGUGUAGAGGUGAAAUUCGUAGAUAUCGAGAGGAACACCGGUGGCGAAGGCGGCUACCUGGACAGAAACUGACGCUGAGACGCGAAAGCGUGGGGAGCAAACAGGAUUAGAUACCCUCGUAGUCC